UAACCCUAAUUUGACCACUUCUAUUUAUACUCAGCAUCACAGUUUUGUCUCUGCUUCCUCGCCUCUCUCUCUAUUUCUCUUCGCCUUGGUGUGUGUGACUUCGUGCCUAUGCGUUUGACGUCGACAGAUGAUACGUGCAGAAAGCUUUAUGAGGUUAUAUUGUAAACAAUCCCUUCAAUGUCUAUCCACGAGGAACAAAUACAAUACUGUUCAGAACAUCUGUUGAGCAGGGAGACAUUGCGGGAUCUACGAAAUGGAUUGAUCAUUCGUCUUUGGAAAAUAUAAUAAUACUGGGCACACAAAAUUAUUUCAUUUGUGUAUGAUUAUUGUAAUUGUGCUAUUUCCUUAAAUAUAUUUUUGCAUUCCUUUUAUGGUCUUAAACGAA